CUUUAAAUGAGUCUUUUGAUAAUAAACAUGCUUGGUUACUAGGGUCACAUGGGCCCUUGUAUUAAAGGGGUGCCACUUGGCAUCCCCCUAUGGGUGGAGUGCCCGAUAAAGGUGAUUUAUCCUAUGAAGUAAUGUACUUUAUUGGCGUUGUAAUUAUGAUCAUUAGUUACUGUAGCCCAUGCUCGUCACUUGGGCCAAAGGAUAGCCUAGCCUAGCCCCGUGAAGGGAACAUUUGACAAUUUAGACUCACAUUGGGCGCUUGGUAUGAUCUAAACAACUUUCUUGCAUUCAGUCUAAAAUUGUGCAAUUAAUAUUCAAAAAUUUCCAAGCUUUAUGAGGGUUCAUAAUCGUUUGAGCAAAAAAUGAAAUCAAGUUCUGGUUCACUUGACAAAGUUAGUAUAACGAGAUACUGAUUAUUACUCAUAAGGUUGUAUUUUGAGAGUCCAUCUUGACUAUUAUGUUAGCAUUGGUGCAGGAUAUGAAAUUUAUCUUAACAAGAUUUGCUUCAACAUACCUCACUUGAUUUAUCGUUGUUUAAACUCCUAAAAUUUCUAUAGGAAUUCUAAUCGAUAUUCAAUGAACUCAACUACUAUUGGAUCGAAAUUUGAUCUUUAGGUAAAACUUGAGCCAAUAAGAUUUUUCAAAAUAUUGGAAACAAAUUAUAAUUUGCAAGUGAAUUAUGUUUGUCAUGAUUACCUAAAUGAAGGACUUAUUUUGGAAAUAAUAUUAAAAAUAAAAAUUCCAAAUAACAAUAUCCUUGUAUUCUUAUUGGCCUCAUUUAAGUGUCAUGUAAAGAUUUACCUAGAAGCAUGUCAUGGUCCAAAGUAACGUGACUUGAGGCUUGUCGUGAUCUUGGAAUGCCACGGAACAAAGUGGGAAAAUGAGGUAGACCUGUGGAAAAUUAGUCCAAGCUUUCGGCAUUAUAUGGCGAUGAGGGCGUCGUGUAAUUCGAUAGGGAAUGACUUAUGUUCUCCUAGAUCGCGGCCAUAACAAUCACCGCAAACGUGGUAGUUCAACAGGACAUAACUGCUUACGUUCGGGGGGACGCAGACAGGUCAUGUGGGCUGUGCAAGCAAAGAAAUCAAAUUUUGCCAAAUGAAAAACUAUCGUUUGAGGAGGAUAAGUACCAUGGAUUGCAGCUAGUUGUUUUGUACGCAAUUGGAUGCCAAUUUGUGCAACUUGCAUGAAGAAGACAAAUUCAACUUAACUGCUUCAAGCUUGAUGGAGGAAGCAAAGUUCAACUUGACUACCACUUGGUCAAGGGAGGAAGCAAAGUUCAACUCGGAUACUACUUCUACAAACGGAUAUACCAACUGCAUAGAGUUGACAAGGGACAUACAACUUGCACAUAUCAACUCGCAUAGAGGUGUAGAGAAUUGCAAAUUGCAAGGAAGCAAAGAUGACAUUGGCUAACACUUGUAUUAAGGAGGCUAAUUGCAACUUGCAUAAAGUGGAUGACAACAUUCAACCAAUAAUGACCCUUGGAUAAAUUAAAUCUUGGCCAUUGAUUCCAACUUGUUUUUAAAAGACUCUGCCUAUAAAUAAAGGUGUUGGAUUCAUUUGUAAAUUAUACAGAGUGUUGAGUAGCAAAGUAUAGAGAGAAAAUACUUAAGAGAUUGUAAAUGAUUUUCUCUUCCAUUUAUACAAAGAGAUUUUCCCAAAUUUAUGUGUGUUCCUUUUAAUAUAAUUUUUGUUUACAGUAUCUACUCAAAGCUAACAUAAUUUAGCUUCAUACAUUAUAUUAGCGUGGGUGACGUAUUCUCAUGAGGACAAGAUUUGUGAGAUGCUAAGUCCGUACGAUUUUAAUUUAUUUGAUAGUGACGAAACUAAGCCCGUGACAAAUUGCCAUGGAGGACUUUCUAUAUAGGGUACAUCUUUUCGCUGCCAAUUGAUGACAAAAUGGGUAAUAAAUUAUGAUGUUACUUCACCACUACCUUAAUAUCGCUUAUUACACAUAUAAAUGUAGUUCCCGAUUGAUUUUCAUUUUAUAAAUUUAUUUUUAAAGUUUAUUUUAAUCACACAUUUUAAAAUGGCACUCACAAUUUUUUUUUUCAACUUUUAAACCACACAUUUCAUUAAUUUUUACCAAUAUUUACUGAAAAAUUGAUUUUUAACCAAACCAAACAUGUGCAUAAGCAUAAUGUAUUGUGUUAUUAACUGUCAGCUACAACAUCACUUGAUCUUCAUUGCUAACAUUUUUUUACAUUCACACUGUUAAAUCUUAUGUUGCAUAUUUUUUUAUUGAUGGUCGAAAAUUUUGUCAACUUUCAUCAACCUUUGUAUACAAUAUUUCUCUUAAAAAAAUGAACAACUCAGUUAGCUUUGUAAGGUGGCCGAGCCGCGAAGCUGAGUACAGCACGAACUUCGAUGCAUAAAUCAAAAUUUUUAGACCCUCAAAAUAAAUUAAUUUCUUCCUUUUGAUUGCCUAAGUUUGCGGUGCACUUCUCAAGCCACUUAAGCUAUAACUCGGCCUCCCAAUAGUUCAAGAUGUUGAAAAUGUUAACUUUAUAAAAUUUGAAAUUUGAAAAUUUGAAAAUUUAAAUUCUUUUAUUGUCAAGAUCAUUCAUGUCAAAUCAUCAAGAGAAUUAUUAAAUGCG
rnacentral:lncRNA from 1 species